rnacentral:rRNA from 1 species
UAGGGAAUCUUCCACAAUGGACGCAAGUCUGAUGGAGCAACGCCGCGUGAGUGAAGAAGGUUUUCGGAUCGUAAAGCUCUGUUGUUGGUGAAGAAGGAUAGAGGCAGUAACUGGUCUUUAUUUGACGGUAAUCAACCAGAAAGUCACGGCUAACUACGUGCCAGCAGCCGCGGUAAUACGUAGGUGGCAAGCGUUGUCCGGAUUUAUUGGGCGUAAAGCGAGCGCAGGCGGAAUGAUAAGUCUGAUGUGAAAGCCCACGGCUCAACCGUGGAACUGGAUCGGAAACUGUCAUUCUUGAGUGCAGAAGAGGAGAGUGGAAUUCCAUGUGUAGCGGUGGAAUGCGUAGAUAUAUGGAAGAACACCAGUGGCGAAGGCGGCUCUCUGGUCUGCAACUGACGCUGAGGCUCGAAAGCAUGGGUAGCGAACAGG